CCUACGGGGGGCAGCAGUGGGGAAUAUUGGGCAAUGGGCGCAAGCCUGACCCAGCAACGCCGCGUGAAGGAAGAAGGCUUUCGGGUUGUAAACUUCUUUUAAGAGGGAAGAGCAGAAGACGGUACCUCUUGAAUAAGCCACGGCUAACUACGUGCCAGCAGCCGCGGGAAUACGUAGGGGGCAAUCGUUGUCCGGAUUUACUGGGUGUAAAGGGCGUGCAGCCGGGAAGACAAGGCAGAUGUGAAAUCCCGGGGCCCAACCGCGGAAAUGCAUUUGAAACUGUUUUGCUUGAGUACCGGAGAGGUCAGCGGAAUGCCUGGUGUAGCGGUGAAAUGCGUAGAUAUAAGGAAGAACACCAGUGGCGAAGGCGGAUGACUGGACGGCAACUGACGGUGAGGCGCGAAAGCGUGGGGAGCAAACAGGAUUAGAUACCCGUGUAGUC
rnacentral:rRNA from 1 species